UACGAGGGGAGCAAGCGUUGUUCGGAUUUACUGGGCGUAAAGGGCGCGUAGGCGGCCACGACCAGUCACUUGUGAAAUCUCCGGGCUUAACUCGGAACGGUCAAGUGAUACUGUCGGGCUAGAGUACAGAAGGGGCAACUGGAAUUCUCGGUGUAGCGGUGAAAUGCGCAGAUAUCAGGAGGAACACCGGUGGCGAAGGCGGGUCUCUGGGCCGAUACUGACGCUGAGGAGCGAAAGCGUGGGGAGCAAACAGG
rnacentral:rRNA from 1 species